GAGGCAGAGGUUGCAGUUAACCGAGAUCGUGCCACUCUACUCCACCCCGGGCAACAGAGCGAGACUCUAUCUCAAAAAAACAAAAACAAAAACAAAAUCUUCUGGGUUUCUCAAUUUUUAAGAGGGAAAAGGGCAUAAGACCAAAAAACUUGAGAACUGCCGUGUUAGGUGAUGGUUCUCUGUUAGAUGUGUUAGAUGACUCAGAAAAGAGUACCUGGGAAGGCCACUGGGGCACUGGUGAAGUGUCCCCUCUUGUCUGCUGGAGACAUGGUUGGAAGCUUACAUACCUGGUGCUGUGUGAUGCUUCUCCGCCAUUCUGCUCUCCAUUCCUGCUUUCAGGAAAACAAACUCUAAACUCCCUGCUUGGCUUUCAGCGUACUUGCUCCAAUUUACACCUUCAGUCUGGUCUCCCUCCCUCCCCACCGCAUUCAACAGGGCUUCGUUACCCUGGCUUUUUCCACCCCUCUAUGCAUUUGCCCUCUGGUGUGCUCUGCCUAGAAACUCUCCCCUAUUCCUCUCUCCUCAGUAGGCCAACGUUUAAAACCCACUUCAACGUGGCCAGGCGCGGUGGCUCACGCCUGUAAUCCCAGCACUUUGGGAGGCCGAGACGGGCAGAUCACGAGGUCAGGAGUUCGAGACCAGCCUGGCCAACAUGGUGAAACCCCCGUCUCUACUAUUAGCUGGGCAUGGUGGCAGCGCCUGUGGUCCCAGCUACUCGGGAGGCUGAGGCAGGAGAAUCGCUUGAAACCAAACAACGUUACAGGCUCUGUGAAGGCUUUCCUGCCCCAGAGUCAGCAGAGGAUUGUUCCCUUGUUCCACUCCCUGAACAUGUGGUACACAAACGGCUUUGCCACUGGGUGCCACUGGAUCAGGGGCCUCCCAUGACCCUCUCACUGGACCAAGGGACUCUCAUGAACACCUUCACCACCUGACACUGGACCGGGGGUCUCCUGUGACAUCCCUCACGCCCCCACUGGAUCAGGAGUCUCCCAUGGACUCUGCUGUCAAUACUUGCCCUCGACGCAAAGCAUUGCCUCUGUCUGAUUUUUUUCUUUUUUUUUUUCCAUCAUGACAGUGUGAACUCCUGGAGGGCAGGCCUGUAUGUUUUUCUUCUGGAUGUCCUUACUACCUGGCACCUAGUAGGUGCUCAAUACAUUUUGGUUGAAUAAAUGAAUCAGUGACAAGGA